ACAGGUGGUGCAUGGUUGUCGUCAGCUCGUGUCGUGAGAUGUGGGUUAAGUCCCGCAACGAGCGCAACCCCUGUGGUUAGUUGCCAUCAUUCAGUUGGGCACUCUAAGCAGACUGCCGUGGAUAACACGGAGGAAGGUGGGGACGACGUCAAAUCAUCAUGCCCCUUAUGACCUGGGCUACACACGUGCUACAAUGGUCUGAACAGAGGGCUGCGAAACCGCGAGGUGAAGCUAAUCCCUUAAAACAGAUCUCAGUUCGGAUUGCAGGCUGCAACUCGCCUGCAUGAAGUUGGAGUUGCUAGUAAUCGCAGAUCAGAAUGCUGCGGUGAAUGCGUUCCCGGGUCUU
rnacentral:rRNA from 1 species